UACGAAGGUGGCAAGCGUUGUUCGGAUUUACUGGGCGUACAGGGAGCGUAGGCGGUUGGAUAAGCCCUCCGUGAAAUCUCCAGGCUUAACCUGGAAAGUGCAGAGGGGACUGUUCAGCUAGAGGAUGGGAGAGGAGCGCGGAAUUCCCGGUGUAGCGGUGAAAUGCGUAGAGAUCGGGAGGAAGGCCGGUGGCGAAGGCGGUCUCCUGGGGCAUUCUUGACGCUGAGGCGCGAAAGCUGGGGGAGCGAACGGG
rnacentral:rRNA from 1 species